rnacentral:rRNA from 1 species
GUCGUGAGACAGUUCGGUCUCUAUCUGUUGUGGGCGUUGGAAAUUUGAGGGAACCUGACUUUAGUACGAGAGGACCGAGUUGGACGAACCUCUGGUGUAUCGGUUAUGCCGCCAGGUGUACUGCCGAGUAACCACGUUCGGUGAGGAUAAGUGCUGAAAGCAUCUAAGCACGAAGCCAAUCCCAAGAUAAGAUUUCCCUUGAGGGUCGUAGGAGACUACUACGUUGAUAGGCUACAGGUGUAAAGUCAGUGAUGGCAAAGCCGAGUAGUACUAAUUACCCGAACGGCUUUCUAUG